rnacentral:rRNA from 1 species
GACGAACGCUGGCGGCGUGCCUAAUACAUGCAAGUAGAACGCUGAAGCGAGGAGCUUGCUCUUCUUGGGUGAGUUGCGAACGGGUGAGUAACGCGUAGGUAACCUGCCUUGUAGCGGGGGAUAACUAUUGGAAACGAUAGCUAAUACCGCAUAACAAUGGAUGACACAUGUCAUUUAUUUGAAAGGGGCAAUUGCUCCACUACAAGAUGGACCUGCGUUGUAUUAGCUAGUAGGUGAGGUAAUGGCUCACCUAGGCGACGAUACAUAGCCGACCUGAGAGGGGGGUACGCCAAACUGGGACGGGGACACGGCCCAGACUCCUACGGGAGGCAGCAGUAGGGGAUCUUCGGGAAUGGGGGCAACGCUGACCGGGCAACGCCGCGUGAGUGAAGAAGGGUUUCGGAUCGUAAAGCUCUGUUGUAAGUCAAGAACGGAUGUGAGAGUGGAAAGUGCACACUGUGACGGUAGCUUACCAGAAAGCGACGGCUAACUACGUG